rnacentral:piRNA from 1 species
CCAACAGAGACCAUGGCUCCUCCUGUU